rnacentral:rRNA from 1 species
AGUAAUGCGUGACCAACCUGCCCCAUGCUCCAGAAUAGCUCUUGGAAACGGGUGGUAAUGCUGGAUGCUCCAACUUGACGCAUGUCUUGCUGGGAAAGUGUUUAGUGGCAUGGGAUGGGGUCGCGUCCUAUCAGCUUGUAGGCGGGGUAAUGGCCCACCUAGGCUUCGACGGGUAGCCGGCCUGAGAGGGCGGACGGCCACAUUGGGACUGAGAUACGGCCCAGACUCCUACGGGAGGCAGCAGUC